UGCGUAGGCGGUUGAGUAAGUCUGACGUGAAAUCUCCGAGCCCAACUCGGAAACUGCGUUGGAUACUAUUCAGCUAGAGGAGUGGAGGGGAGACUGGAAUACUUGGUGUAGCAGUGAAAUGCGUAGAUAUCAAGUGGAACACCAGUGGCGAAGGCGAGUCUCUAGACAUUUCCUGACGCUGAGGCACGAAAGCCAGGGGAGCAAACG
rnacentral:rRNA from 1 species